rfam:Arthrobacter sp. Leaf234 contig_5, whole genome shotgun sequence.
CGCGGUCCUCGGUAGUGAUCCCCGGAAAGCGCCGGACCGGCGCCUCCGUGGAUCUCGAUCGAAGACCGGG